rnacentral:rRNA from 1 species
GUGAGGAAUAUUGCGCAAUGGAGGUAACUCUGACGCAGCCAUGCCGCGUGCAGGAAGAAGGCGCUACGCGUUGUAAACUGCUUUUAACCGGGAAGAAACCCCAGGACGUGUCCUGGGUUGACGGUACCGGAGGAAUAAGCACCGGCUAACUUCGUGCCAGCAGCCGCGGUAAUACGAAGGGUGCAAGCGUUAUCCGGAUUCAUUGGGUUUAAAGGGUGCGUAGGCGGAGCGUUAAGUCAGUGGUGAAAUCCUGCAGCUUAACUGUAGACUUGCCAUUGAUACUGGCGCUCUUGAGUGCGCUUGAAGUGGGCGGAAUGUGCCGUGUAGCGGUGAAAUGCUUAGAUAUGGCACAGAACACCAAUUGCGAAGGCAGCUCACUAAGGCGAUACUGACGCUGAGGCACGAAAGCGUGGGGAUCGAACAGGAUUAGAAACCCGGGUAGUCC